UGGAUGGUAGUGCACCAUCAGCUUGUAAACAAGAAGAGCCUGUCAUUAAGCUGCGCUGCAUACCGUAGUUAAGCAGAGGAGAAAUUUUGCUACAACAGCUGGAACCAAGGCCCGAAAUUAAUCGUGAGAGGACCAGAAAGGCAUGCUACCAGAAAGCUGUAUACCACACCAGAACAGAGGGAUGAGACUGGAGCAUCUUCUGUGGGCAGCACACACGAGCACGUAUGAGCAACAGCAGUAGACACCAAUGUUCUCCGUACACAAGCACAGAGAACAGCGUCAGUGGCCAUCCUAGGAGAGUUGCCCCAAGUCAAACUUUCCCCAGAGGCAGAAGAUCGCCGUCCGAGCCAUGACCCACUUUGGUCCUGCUUUGAAGGAGAUGGAAGGCGGCGGGGACGCAGCGGGGACAGAUGCGGUUACAUCAGCGGGAGUUUUCUGCAGGCUGCGGUGUGUAAGCCACUGAUGCUCAGAAGUCAGAUUUCAUGCUGUACCCAAAGCAUGGAUAGCUUGGCCCACUGCUCUCUGCCUGACAAGAGGAUGGAUGAAAUAAAACAGCAACCAAGCAUUUA